rnacentral:misc_RNA from 1 species
UUGGCAUUUGCUCAAGAGUAUGAAAAUUUGUUUGUUGAUGACUCACAGUUUGAAACAAGUUAACAUUACUUUCUACUGGAGAGAACUUCCCUACUACUUCAUUUUUGGUCUUGAAGAAAGAAGGUCUAUUUUUUGUAUCCGGAUGUCUGUCCCUUUCUUCAUGAGAAGGUGUAUGGUUGACAAAACAAGUCUCUUGUGUGCGAUCAACUGGGAUUUGAUGAGAAACCACAGGCAGUAGCUGGUGACAUAACCCAUUAGCUGACCGAAAAUGUGGUUUAAAGUCUUGUUGCUUGUAUUGAGGUUGUGGAGCUUCUCCAGUUGAGCAAUAUGGAAUGGGUACCUUAGCACUUUUUACAUUAGUAUUAACCAAUCCAAAGGAAUCGUUGAGGCCUAUCUUUGAACCGGUAGUCUGAGGAUCAAAGUUAUCUUCAACCACAGACCUCGGCUCAGCCGCUGGCACUGAAACAACACCCUUUACCUUGCUCUCACAUAUGUUGGAUUUCCCAUUUUGAACAAUAGUUUUGUCUCCAGUAACACAACCAUACUUUUCAUUUGUAACAUCAGUGCAUGCAUCCAGUGAAUUCUGAAGGCUGAGACUAGAACAAAUUUCUUUAGAAGAAACAUCCGGAUGCUUCGUCCCAAUAAAUGAGGCUUUAGCUUCAUCUUCUUUCUGCAACCUAGUUAAGUAGAGGCGAUACUUCUGUAAGUGGCUAGCAACAUUUUCUCUAGUCAACCAUGGGAUACCCAUCAAAUCAAGAAUCUUCUUGGGACCAAUGUCAAAUCCAAUCUGGUUUACAGCUUUGACAAAUUUCUGA